rnacentral:rRNA from 1 species
CCUACGGGUGGCAGCAGUGAGGAAUAUUGGUCAAUGGGCGGAAGCCUGAACCAGCCAAGUAGCGUGAAGGAUGACGGCCCUAUGGGUUGUAAACUUCUUUUAUAUGGGAAUAAAGUGCAGUAUGUAUACUGCUUUGCAUGUACCUUAUGAAUAAGGACCGGCUAACUCCGUGCCAGCAGCGGCGGUAAUACGGAGGGUACGGGCGUUAUCCGGAUUUAUUGGGUUUAAAGGGGGCGCGGGCGGAUUUUAAAGUGGGCGGUGAAAUCGUGGGGCUCAACCCCGUCCAGCCGUGGAAACUGGGGAUCUAGAGUGCGCGGGAGGCAUGCGGAAUGCGUGGUGUAGCGGUGAAAUGCAUAGAUAUCACGCAGAACCCCGAUUGCGAAGGCAGCAUACCGGUGCACAACUGACGCUCAGGCACGAAAGCGCGGGUAUCGAACAGGAUUAGAUACCCUAGUAGUC